rnacentral:rRNA from 1 species
GAUGAACGCUGGCGGCGUGCCUAAUACAUGCAAGUCGAGCGAACGGACGAGAAGCUUGCUCCUCUGAUGUUAGCGGCGGACGGGUGAGUAACACGUGGAUAACCUACCUAUACGACUGGGAUAACUUCGGGAAACCGGAGCUAAUACCGGAUAAUAUUUUGAACCGCAUGGUUCAAAAGUGAAAGACGGCCUUGCUGUCACUUAUAGAUGGAUCCGCGCUGCAUUAGCUAGUUGGUAAGGUAACGGCUUACCAAGGCAACGAUGCAUAGCCGACCUGAGAGGGUGAUCGGCCACACUGGAACUGAGACACGGUCCAGACUCCUACGGGAGGCAGCAGUAGGGAAUCUUACGCGAUGGACGAAAGCCUGACGGAGCAACGCCGCGUGAGUGAUGAAGGUCUUCGGAUCGUAAAGCUCUGUUAUUAGGGAAGAACAUAUGUGUAAGUAACUGUGCACAUCUUGACGGUACCUAAUCAGAAAGCCACGGCUAACUACGUG